GGGGAGUCUCCAGAGACGGUGAACUGGGCCGGUCUGUAAAACCGGUGGCAACGCCUAAGUGGGUUCGAAUCCCUCACUCCCCACCA
rnacentral:tRNA from 1 species